rnacentral:rRNA from 2 species
AGGCAUUCCGCCUGGGGAGUACGCCCGCAAAGGUUGAAAACUCAAGGGGAUUGAAGGGGGGCCCGCACAAGCGGUGGAGCAUGUGGUUUUAAUUCGAAAGCAACGCGAAGAACCUUACCAGGUCUUGACAUCUUUUGAUCACAAAAAAAGAUCAGGUUUCCCCUUCGGGGGCAAAAUGACAGGUGGUGCAUGGUUGUCGUCAGCUCGUGUCGUGAGAUGUUGGGUUAAGUCCCGCAACGAGCGCAACCCUUAUGACUAGUUGCCAGCAUUUAGUUGGGCACUCUAGUAAGACUGCCGGUGAAAAACCGGAGGAAGGUGGGGAUGACGUCAAAUCAUCAUGCCCCUUAUGACCUGGGCUACACACGUGCUACAAUGGAUGGUACAACGAGUUGCGAGACCGCGAGGUCAAGCUAAUCUCUUAAAGCCAUUCUCAGUUCGGACUGUAGGCUGCAACUCGCCUACACGAAGUCGAAUCGCUAUAUACCGAAUGC